AUUGAACGCUGGCGGAAUGCUUUACACACGCAAGUCGAACGGCAGCACGGACUUCGGUCUGGUGGCGAGUGGCGAACGGGUGAGUAAUACAUCGGAACGUGCCCAAUCGUGGGGGACAACGUAGCGAAAGCUACGCUAAUACCGCAUACGAUCUAAGGAUGAAAGCGGGGGAUCGCAAGACCUCGCGCGAUUGGAGCGGCCGAUGGCAGAUUAGGUAGUUGGUAGGGUAAAGGCCUACCAAGCCGACGAUCUGUAGCUGGUCUGAGAGGAUGAUCAGCCACACUGGGACUGAGACACGGCCCAGACUCCUACGGGAGGCAGCAGUGGGGAAUUUUGGACAAUGGACGCAAGUCUGAUCCAGCCAUUCCGCGUGCAGGAUGAAGGCCCUCGGGUUGUAAACUGCUUUUGUACAGAGCGAAAAGGCUCUGGUUAAUACCUAGGGCUCAUGACGGUACUGUAAGAAUAAGCACCGGCUAACUACGUGCCAGCAGCCGCCGUAA
rnacentral:rRNA from 1 species